ACUCCGUGUUGGGUUACAGUGACAACAAGGGCCCUGUCUGAACCACUGCUUUUAGGAAGAUAAUAUUACAGGCUAGCAUCUGAUCCAUCCGCCAAUACGCAGUUGAGACGAAGGAGGUUAAAGCGCUCUGAGCACAAGGGACCAUAUUGCAGCGCCUCGCAGCACUCCUCCAUGUUCUCCUCCAUCUGCCUCCUGUCCAUUGAUCAGCCUUCCAGGCCAUCAGUCUGUUUAACAUCUGCUACAAGUUCCAGCAGCUCAGAUGCGCGCAGGGGCUGUAAUGAAGAGCUCUUGAACUCGCAGUCGGAGGAGCUGUGACAGGGGUUCAGGAGGACGUCACUUUGGCUCUGCUGGAUAGGGACCUGCGCCGUGGAUGAAAUUUAGCCCCGACCCCUGAUCUUUGGGUUCAGCGUUUGUCUCCAGUCCAGUGACCACAAACAACCUGGAUUGCUGUAAAUGUCAGUGCAGCCGCGCCUCCGCCCUCUCCCCUGUGAAGCACAGGCCUGCACUCAGCGUGCACUAACAAGACACUUUUUAUGACGGCGCCAUUAUCACUGCUGAAGUGACCUGUUUAGCAAAGCCAGCAGCUGCUACAUCUGUCAGAGGCUCGCUUCUAAUAGAUUGCAAUUCAUGUUGGGGAGACUUUGGUUGUAAUGCAUCUCGUUUUGAAGCACUUUGGCUCACCCUUCCCCCACAAAUAAACACACACGCUUCCCUUUUUCUCCUCGGCGGGCCUCCCGAGGUUGCUGUCUCUGCGUUAGGACUCUAUUGUUGGCUACCGCUGGAUAAUGCCCUUAUUAAUUGUACCUCUUUGUAAGGUGUCAGCUGUAGGCUCAGAUUGAGAUGGAUGGAUCUCUGGAGUCUGCUCGCUGGCCCUCGGCAGACGCUCUAUCUCUGCACAGCAGUGAGUGCUGCCACACUUUGACUAAAAGCACAGAUAAAACAGCCACGUUUAAUUAUUCCACCAAAAAAGAAACAUGUUUCCAGAUAGAAGGUCUAUUUUUUUUCUGUCAUUGGUAAGGUGUGCCAGCAUGUGAUGCAUUUUAAUUAUCAGAAUAUCUAAACUAGCAGUGAUGACGAUAAAAUAUCUUCAUUAUUAUUAUUAUUGAUUAUUUCAAUGUGCUGCAGAAAUUCUGGUUAAUGAGGUAGAUUGAAGCCUCCAUGAGAUCAACAGCAUUAAGAUCAAAUCCUUUCCCUCUCAUUAAGGGAAACUGAUUCAGUUUAAUUCAUGCAGAUUAAUCCUCAUUGAUGCUUAUUUUAUCUUAUAAAAUGAUUAGCAGUUUAGACUUCACUUUCAACCAUUUCAGAAAUUCAAGUUUGACCACUUUGUUGUAAUCUUCAGCAGUA